CGUGUAGGCGGAGCGGUAAGUAUUCUGUGAAAGCCCCCGGCUCAACCGGGGACGUGCAGGGUAUACUAUCGUUCUUGAGGCAAGCAGGGGCACCUGGAACCCUAGGUGGAGCGGUGAAAUGCGUUGAUAUCUAGGGGAACGCCGGUGGCGAAAGCGGGGUGCUGGGCUUGUUCUGACGCUGAGACGCGAAAGCGUAGGGAGCAAACG
rnacentral:rRNA from 1 species